rnacentral:rRNA from 1 species
UACGGAGGGUGCAAGCGUUAUCCGGAUUCACUGGGUUUAAAGGGUGCGUAGGCGGACAGGUAAGUCCGUGGUGAAAUCUCUGGGCUUAACCCAGAAACUGCCGUUGAUACUAUUUGUCUUGAAUAUCCUGGAGGUAGGCGGAAUAUGUCAUGUAGCGGUGAAAUGCUUAGAUAUGACAUAGAACACCGAUAGCGAAGGCAGCUUACUACAGGAUGAUUGACGCUGAGGCACGAAAGCGUGGGGAGCAAACAGG